UACGGAGGAUGCAAGCGUUAUCCGGAUUUAUUGGGUUUAAAGGGUGCGUAGGCGGGAUUAUAAGUCAGUGGUGAAAACCUGCAGCUUAACUGUAGACUUGCCAUUGAUACUGUAGUUCUUGAGUAUGGUCAAGGCAGGCGGAAUGUGUAAUGUAGCGGUGAAAUGCUUAGAUAUUACACAGAACACCAAUUGCGAAGGCAGCUUACUGAGCCGACACUGACGCUGAGGUGCGAAAGCGUGGGUAGCGAACAGGA
rnacentral:rRNA from 1 species